GUUUUAAUAAUUUAAUCAAAAUACUGGUCUUGUAAACCAGAAAUAAGAAUUCUCUUUUAAAACU
rnacentral:tRNA from 1 species